GCCGGGCAUGGUGGCGUGCGCCUGUAGUCCCAGCUACUGGGAGGCUGAGGCAGGAGAAUUGCUUGCACCUGGGAGGCAGAGGUUGCAGUGAGCCAAGAUCGUGCCACUGCACUCCAGCCUGGGCGACAGAGCGAGACUCUGUCUCCA
ensembl:misc_RNA Metazoa_SRP Metazoan signal recognition particle RNA